UCUCCACUAAAUAACCAUUAUCCAUAUUUUUCUUCCUCUUUCGUCUCUCUUCUCUCUAAAACCCAUUCAAAGCCGAAAUCAUCAGAAGAAAAGUCAAUUUCUUUCUGAACUACCCAGAUCCAUCUGCUAUCAUAUAAAAACCAACAAAUCUUCAUGAAACAAAGCAUACCGCCACGAAAAAGGGAAGAAAAACCAUUGACUUCUUCUUGAUCUCUCCAGAUCCAAUUAUUUCAUAUUUUGUUUGCUGUUAGAGUUUUAAAUAUCUAUUGAUUUUUCUUGUCGGAGUUUCUAAUUUGAAGACCAGGUAUUAUCCUUUGUUGAAUUUCUCAACAGUCGAAGGGAUAUUUGGUUUUAGGUUUCACCUUUACCAACAGUUGAAGAAUCGACCGAUUUACCAGAAAGAAGGUAAAAUUGAUAGCUCGUUUUAUGAUUAUUUCCAUCCCUUUACUUCCAAUUAUGAUUAAAUGGUUAGAUUUUGGCUUAACUUUGGGGGUUUUUCAUAAAAUUGAAAGUUCAUAAUUUAUUGAUUAAUUUUUAUUUAGGUUUUUUUUAUAGAACUCUAUCAAUUUUGUUGAACAAUUAUCCACUAGCUCACUAUGGGUUCAUAUAGCAUGCAACUGUAUUGAUUCUGUCGAAGAGAUAUGAGGUUCGGUUUUUAACUUUUCUUCUCCUUUAUGUUAGAGAUUUUCUUGAAUUGAUAGUGGUUGUUGUUUUAAAGUUUGGUUGUAUGUGUGGUCAAACUUGGUGGGUUUGUGUUAUGCUUUCAACUUUUAACUA